UACGUAGGGUGCGAGCGUUAAUCGGAAUUACUGGGCGUAAAGCGUGCGCGGGCGGCGCGUUAAGCCAGGUGUGAAAGCCCCGAGCUUAACUUGGGAAUUGCGCUUGUGACUGGCGUGCUGGAGUGUGGCAGAGGGAGGUGGAAUUCCACGUGUAGCAGUGAAAUGCGUAGAGAUGUGGAGGAACACCGAUGGCGAAGGCAGCCUCCUGGGCCAGCACUGACGCUCAUGCACGAAAGCGUGGGGAGCAAACAGG
rnacentral:rRNA from 1 species